AGAGUUUGAUCAUGGCUCAGGAUGAACGCUGGCGGCGUGGAUAAGGCAUGCAAGUCGAGAGGGUUAGACCCUCGGCAAACGGGUUAGUAACACGUAGGAACGUACCCCAAAGUUAGGCAUAACCCGGAGAAAUCCGGAAUAAUACCUAAUAGUCUCUUCGGAGUAAAGAUUCAUCGCUUUGGGAGCGGCCUGCGUCCUAUCAGCUUGUUGGUGAGGUAAAAGCUCACCAAGGCUAUGACGGGUAGGGGGCGUGAGAGCGUGACCCCCAACAUUGGCACUGAGACACUGGCCAAACACCUACGGGUGGCUGCAGUCGAGAAUAUUCCACAAUGGGCGAAAGCCUGAUGGAGCGACGCCGCGUGCAGGAUGACAGCUUUCGGGUUGUAAACUGCUUUUAACUGGGAAGAACUUUAAUGACGGUACCAGUUGAAUAAGAGGUUGCUAACUCCGUGCCAGCAGCAGCGGUAAUACGGAGACCUCUAGCGUUAUCCGGAUUUAUUGGGCGUAAAGGGUGUGUAGGCGGCUUAAAUAGUCAGAUGUUAAAUCACUGAGCUCAACUCAGUGGCUGCAUUUGAAACGUUUAAGCUAGAAACAGGUAGAGGUUAGCGGAACUCAUGGUGUAGCAGUGGAAUGCGUUGAUAUCAUGGGGAACACCAAAGGCGAAGGCAGCUAACUGGGCCUUGUUUGACGCUGAGGCACGAAAGCGUGGGUAGCGAAUGGGAUUAGAUACCCCAGUAGUCCACGCCCUAAACGAUGCGCACUCGGCAUUGGAAGUUUCGACCCUUUCAGUGCCUAAGCUAACGCGGUAAGUGCGCCGCCUGGGAAGUACGAGCGCAAGCUUAAAACUCAAAGGAAUAGACGGGGAUCCGCACAAGCGGUGGAGCAUGUGGUUUAAUUCGACAUUAAGCGAGGAACCUCACCAGGGCUAGAAAUCCAACUGCAUACCUUUGGAAACAUCGGUAGCCUUCGAGGGUGUUGGACAGGUGUUGCAUGGUUGUCGUCAGCUCGUGCCGUAAGGUGUUCCAUUAAGUUGGGUAACGAGCGCAACCCCUACUGCGUGUUAUACGUGUCACGCGGAACUGCCCCGCACUCUGAGUGCAAGCAUUAUUUGCUUGUGAACAGUGUGUGGGGAGGAAGGUGGGGAUGACGUCAAAUCAGCAUGGCCCUAGACGCCCUGGGCGACACACGUGCUACAAUGGCCGGUACAACGGGUUGCCAAACCGUAAGGUGGAGCUAAUCCCUUAAAGCCGGUCCAAGUUCGGAUUGAGGUCUGCAACUCGACCUCAUGAAGUUGGAAUCGCUAGUAAUCCCGCAUCAGCCACGGCGGGGUGAAUACGUUCCCGGAUCUUGUACUCACCGCCCGUCACACCAAGGGAGCCGGGAGUACCCGAAGGCCCUCUUUCGAGGGGGACCACGGUAAGCUCGGUAACAAGGGUGAAGUCGUAACAAGGUA
rnacentral:rRNA from 1 species